rnacentral:rRNA from 1 species
AGAACGAACGCUGGCGGCGUGCCUAACACAUGCAAGUCGUGCGGGAAAAGUGGGGGCAACUCCACGAGUAGAGCGGCGCACGGGUGAGUAACACGUAGGUAACCUGCCUUCGAGACUGGGAUAACCUGUCGAAAGACGGGCUAAUACCGGAUAAGACCACGGGGGUUGCGGCUCCCGCGGUAAAAAGUGGCCUCUGCUUGCAAGCUACUGCUCGAGGAUGGGCCUGCGCGCCAUUAGCUAGUUGGCGGGUAACGGCCACCAAGGCAAAGAUGGCUAGCUGGUCUGAGAGGAUGGCCAGCCACACUGGGACUGAGACACGGCCCAGACUCCUACGGGAGGCAGCAGUGGGGAAUAUUGCGCAGUGGGCGAAAGCCUGACGCAGCGACGCCGCGUGGGUGAUGAAGGCCUUCGGGUCGUAAAGCCCUGUCGGGAGGGACGAAACCUCGGCGACCUAACACGUCGCCGACCUGACGGUACCUCCUAAGGAAGCACCGGCUAACUCCGUG